rnacentral:rRNA from 1 species
AGGGCUGUGAGGCCUUUAGCUGACCAAUACUAAUAAGUCGAAGUUUUAACCUUGAAUUUACUAUAUAGUUU